GAAUAAUAAAAGAGUUUGGUGAGAGUAGAGCGUAGAGAGGUAACGUGUAAAGAAGAUGAUGACUAUGGAAGUUCCAUGGACCUCUUCGUUAUUUUCAAGCAUAUAUACCAUUAAUAAAACCUCUUACUCUUCUUCAAUGUUACGCUUCUCCAUUUCUAGAACACUUUCUUCCUUCUCUUCUCGCUCUCGUCCUCUUUUUAUGGCCUCCGCUUCUCGGUUUUCACCUCAGGCUGUGUCAACUGGGGGUGUAACUAGUGAUGCCAGUGUCUUCCAAUUGAUUCAAACUCACCAGGAAACUGCAAUUCGGCUUCCUCCAGUUGAGGAAAUUCGAACUGUACUUGAUUGCAAUGUGCGCGGCAUGCUUUCCACUUUUUCUCAGAAGUAUGAGGGUUAUCCAUCGGGUUCGAUGGUUGACUUUGCAUGUGUUGCUGAUGGAUCUCCAAUAUUAGCUGUCAGCAGCCUGGCUGUUCAUACAAAGGACCUGUUAGCUAAUCCCAAAUGUUCAUUGGUUGUUGCUAGAGAUCCAGAAGAUAGAACUGAUUUAGUAAUUACCCUGCAUGGGGAUGCUCUUUUUGUUCCUGAAAAAGAUAUAGCAACCAUUCGAGCUGCCUAUUUGGCUAAGCAUCCCAAUGCAUUCUGGGUUGACUUUGGUGACUUCCAAUUUUUGCGCAUUGAACCAAAGGUUGUUCGGUAUGUGUCAGGUGUUGCAACUGCUCUAUUGGGGUCUGGAGAGUUCAGCAGAGAGGAGUACCAAGCUUCAAAAGUUGAUCCAAUAGCUCAGUUUUCUAAGCCUGUUGCGUCGCACAUGAACAGGGAUCAUGCUGAAGAUACAAGACUCAUUGUGCAACACUCAACAUCAAUUCCGGUGGACUCUGCUUACAUGCUGGAUUUGGAUAGUCUUGGAUUCUAUGUUAAGGCGGGUUAUGAAGGAAAUACUUUCAAGCUCCGAAUUCCUUUUCCAAGACGCGCAGAAGAUAGAAAGGACGUGAAGACCCUAAUAGUGGAAAUGCUUCAAGCUGCCAAGUCUCGAGCUAAAUGAGCCCACUGUGAAAGAGAACAAACAGCAAAUUCUUAUUGCCUGUAUCCGUAAACAUACUCAGUAACCCACUUCCUAUAUCACAUCGCAAUCGCUUUCUAGUGGAUAUUGACAAAUUGGACAGGGAAGAUGUCCAAAUAAAGAUGCAAAUGCUCAUCGACACUGUCAUGUUCAGAAAUUUUUAUGUGUGUACUACUGUAGUUAAAAAUUAGACAGAAAAACAAUAUAUAUAGAAGUAAUCGGUUGUUAAAAAAAAAAAAAAUUAUGUUAGUUUCUGUUGAUUGUAUAAUUUCAUU